rnacentral:rRNA from 1 species
GAGGACCGGAGUGGACGCAUCACUGGUGUUCGGGUUGUCAUGCCAAUGGCACUGCCCGGUAGCUAAAUGCGGAAGAGAUAAGUGCUGAAAGCAUCUAAGCACGAAACUUGCCCCGAGAUGAGUUCUCCCUGACUCCUUGAGAGUCCUGAAGGAACGUUGAAGACGACGACGUUGAUAGGCCGGGUGUGUAAGCGCAGCGAUGCGUUGAGCUAACCGGUACUAAUGAACCGUGAGGCUUAACCUUACAACGCCGAAGCUGUU